UAAUACGGAGGGUGCGAGCGUUAAUCGGAAUUACUGGGCGUAAAGGGUGCGUAGGUUGUUGUAUAAGUUAGUUGUGAAAUACCUGUGCUUAACAUGGGGGUGUCAACUAGUACUGUAUGACUUGAGUAAAGUAGAGGGUGGUAGAAUUUCCGGUGUAGCGGUGAAAUGCGUAGAGAUCGGAAGGAAUAUCGGUGGCGAAGGCGACCACCUGGGCUAUUACUGACACUGAGGCACGAAAGCGUGGGUAGCAAACAGG
rnacentral:rRNA from 2 species